rnacentral:rRNA from 1 species
CCCAACGAGAUCGGGAUAACAUCUGGAAACAGAUGCUAAUACCGGAUAACAACAGAUGAUGCCUAUCAACUGUUUAAAAGAUGGUUCUGCUAUCACUCUUGGAUGGACCUGCGGUGCAUUAGCUAGUUGGUAGGGUAACGGCCUACCAAGGCGAUGAUGCAUAGCCGAGUUGAGAGACUGAUCGGCCACAUUGGGACUGAGACACGGCCCAAACUCCUACGGGAGGCAGCAGCG